UACGUAGGCAGCGAGCGUUGUUCGGAGUUACUGGGCGUAAAGGGUGUGUAGGCGGUUGUUUAAGUUUGGUGUGAAAUCUCCCGGCUCAACUGGGAGGGUGCGCCGAAUACUGAAUGACUUCGAGUGCGGGAGAGGAGAGUGGAAUUCCUGGUGUAGCGGUGAAAUGCGCAGAUAUCAGGAGGAACACCAAUUGCGAAGGCAGCUCGCUGGGACGUGACUGACGCUGAGACGCGAAAGCGUGGGGAGCAAACAGG
rnacentral:rRNA from 1 species